rnacentral:rRNA from 1 species
UACGAGGGGUGCAAGCGUUGCUCGGAAUUAUUGGGCGUAAAGGGUAGGUAGGUGGUCUCAUUUGUCAGGGGUGAAAGCCUUGGGCUUAACCUAAGAAGUGCCCCCGAAACGGUGAGACUGGAGUCCUGGAGAGGGUCGUGGAAUUCCCGGUGUAGCGGUGAAAUGCGUAGAGAUCGGGAGGAACACCAGAGGCGAAGGCGGCGACCUGGACAGGUACUGACACUCAACUACGAAAGCGUGGGGAGCAAACAGG